GAUGAACGCUGGCGGUAUGCUUAACACAUGCAAGUCGAACGGACUCUUCGGAGUUAGUGGCGGACGGGUGAGUAACGCGUGAGAAUCUGGCUUUGGGUUCGGGGCAACCACUGGAAACGGUGGCUAAUACCGGAUGUGCCGAGAGGUAAAAGAGAAAUUGCCUGAAGAUGAGCUCGCGUCUGAUUAGCUAGUUGGUGAGGUAAAGGCUCACCAAGGCAGCGAUCAGUAGCUGGUCUGAGAGGAUGACCAGCCACACUGGGACUGAGACACGGCCCAGACUCCUACGGGAGGCAGCAGUGGGGAAUUUUCCGCAAUGGGCGAAAGCCUGACGGAGCAAUACCGCGUGAGGGAAGAAGGCUCUUGGGUUGUAAACCUCUUUUCUUAGGGAAGAACAAAAUGACGGUACCUAAGGAAUCAGCAUCGGCUAACUCCGUG
rnacentral:rRNA from 1 species